UCCCUGGUAGCUCAGAUGGUAAAGCGUCUGCCUAUAAUGCAGGAGACCCGGGUUCGAUCCCUGCGUUGGGAA
rnacentral:tRNA from 1 species